GAGCAUUAAUUUAAUGGAUUAAGAAUGUUUUAAGAAAUGUUUGAAAAAUCUGUUAUUGAUUAAGUUAUCACUAAUCAGUAGAAGUACUCAGGUGGGUCUGAGAUGUGGGAUUAUAAUGAUUUUUCUAAACUUGAUUUUUAUUUUUUGAUUUACAUACAUUUAAAAUGACUUUGAAUAAAACUUUAAAUUCUACUACCAGUAAAAGGCCUGGAGAAAAAAUUGGUGUAUUGUGAAAGUGUCUGGAUUUGUUAAGUUAUACAUUGACAUCAUAAUUUCUCCAGGUCUAACUCUUUUGAAUUUUUGUUUAAGGAACGUAUGUUGAAUGUUUUAGAAAAAAACAACCAGUAAGAUCUAGUUUGUUCUAUAAAAGUAAUUUAAACUGGACUGUUUAAUUCACACUGAUAUUCAUUGUUUUGAUGAUAAAUGUAAACUAUACAACUGCAGCACAUGUUUAAGCUUUUGUUAUUGUUUUGUUUUGUUUGUUUAGUCCUAUUUUACAAGAUUGGUUUAAGAUGAAGAUCUGCAUAUGUUUAACAUUCUGGGAAAAACAUUAAUUUGGAAACAUGUCUUUUGAAGCAGGUGAUUACAAGGUUUUGGUGUUUUCCAUCUGUUGGAGGUGUGGUAUAUAAUAAUUGAAGCGUAGAUUGAAUAGAUCACAUCCACCGUUGAAUGUGCAGAACUGGACAAGUAGGAGAUAUGCUUUGCAUGAUGAGUUGCUCAUGGCUUUCUACACACAGACUGGCCUGGAGUUCUGAGCUCCAGGCCUGACUCUGGACUCUACAACAAAAGCUGUUGUCUCUGAGGAGGAGUGCGACUGCUUGGAGAAGCGGUUUCACAUUUAUUUCGACGAUAGCAGCCACAGAGUCACGAGCGGUGGAGCAUUCACUCGGACAAGGAUUUGCAGCUGUUUUUCUGGUGCCCUGUGGAUGUGGUCUCCUUCAAAGUCUGCGUUCUUUGAUAAAAGAUUAAAGUAAUUCCCCUGAUGGAAAAUCACAAAGCCAAAUUUACUU